UGUGAAAAAGGCAGCAGUCCCAAAAUGAAGGAACACCUGCUGUGUCUCAAGCGCCUGGAAACCAGAGGCCCAACAACAUCUGUUGCUUUUGUUGGUGCUGUUGUUGCAGCUGCUCCUGCCUCACUGUUAGGAAUGAAGAAAGGGGAAAAUGCAGGAAGAACCACACACACUACAAAAAUGGAGAGUAUCCAGGUCCUAGAGGAAUGCCAAAACCCCACUGCAGAGGAAGUCUUGCCCUGGUCUCAAAAUUUUGACAAGAUGAUGAAGGCCCCAGCAGGAAGAAACCUUUUCAGAGAGUUCCUCUGAACAGAAUACAACAAAGAGAACCUACUUUUCUGGAUUGCCUGUGAAGACUUAAAGAAAGAACAGAACAAAAAAGUAAUCAAAGAAAAGAGAAAAGGCUAGAAUGAUAUAUGAAGAUUACAUUUCUGUACUAUCACCAAAAGAGGUCAGUCUUGAUUCUCGAGCUAGAGAAUUCUUGAGUUAGAGAGGUGAUCAACAGAAAUUUGUUGGCUCCUAAUCCUCACAUGUAUAGUUCUCUCCAGCCCCAAGU
rnacentral:lncRNA from 10 species